UAUUCUGAUGUCACCGCUUCCUAAUGAGAAGCUAGAAAAUGCAAUUCUAGAGUGAUACACCUUUAAGUCUUGAAGAAUGAAGAUGAAAUAUUCCAAACUAUGCUGCACAAGAGGAUGUGAACAGAAACAUCUGGACGGAGAAGAUCUUUUUUAUAUUCAGCCAUGCCAAUUGACCUACUACCCUCUCCAUAGCCAAAGGAAUGCCCAAAUUUCCACAGAAAGGCAUUUUUAGGUCUUACCUCAAAUGGUCCCAUGGAAUUAGGCUCUCAGGCCCUGGCCAUCACGGCACUAUCUGUGGAAGGAACUUCUGCAAAGCCUUCCUGGCUCCUUGAUGGAUUGGCUUUUUGGCUUAUGCCUGUAAUCCUACCACUUUGGGAAGCUGAGGCAGGAGGAUUGCUUGAGCCCAGGAGUGCAAGACCAACCUGAGCAACAUUGUAGAACGUCAUCUCUGCAAAAACAAACAAACAAACAAAAAUUAGCUGGGACAGGACAGUCCAGAGAGAACCAACAGCCUUUGCCUGAGCUCUGCUCCAGAGCUCCUCCAGCCCCGUGAUCAGGCACUAACUAUAACAACUGAACCGAUGGAAGUAAAUCCUACCCCAGCGGGGCACUGGCAGGAUUAAAGCAGGUAGUGGAUAGCGUCUUGCACAGUACCAUAUACAGAGUAGGAUCUCCUACACGUGGUAGGAUUCUUGACUUGAAUAGAAACAGAACCCACAUAGCACAGCAAUAAGAAAAAUAAGAUUCUGCAGACACCAAUGCUAGUCUCAGGGCUGCCACUAACUAGGUAUGUGACUUUGACCAUGCCCCUUCACCUCCUGUCCGUGAUUUUCUCGCGUGUAAAAUGAGGCACUAUUGUUUAGAUUUCUCAAGGGCUUCCAGCUGUAACAUUCUACAGUCCUGUGCAUUGCUGGAAUUGCAGGGGAACAGGGGAGGGAGGGUAAACCUCACAUGUUCAUGUUUUAAAAUUUCAAAUGAAGAAAGUUGUUGUUUUCUCCUCUUCCCUUCUCCCCAGUGGUAGCAAACAAGCAAUAAAUAUGGAAAUCCUAAAAGCCAGAGAAAAUAGUGAGUGUUCUCCAUUUUGCUGACAAAGUACACAGAGGCUGCGUCACAAAAUGAAUGUGCUUAUCCCUCUUGUGUGCUGCAUGAAUUCCUCCCGGCCCGAGCAUGGCUGGACCACUCACAGGACAGCUGUCCUUUGUUCUGUCAGUACAGGGUCCCCUGCUUGUGUGCUGACCAGCGCAGCACUGGGUGACUACUGCAGAGUGAAGGUGUGUGUUCCUUCUCCAGGGAGCCCCGAACAGAUGGAAUCCAUGCUUAGUGCAGUGACUGGAAGGAGGUAGAAACAAUGCAGGUGAAUUGGGAGGGCAGUGCCGGGAGACAGCGGAAGAAAAGAGAAAAACAAAGGCAAGGUAGAGCAUUCCAGCUGCAGGCAGCCAAAGCCUCUCCUGCCAAGGGACAGGUAGCUGGUUUUCAAAAUUGUGCAGACAUACUCAGUAAUUGCUCUGCACCAUCUUGUCUGCCUUUUAAGCACAAGCGAGGAUUGCAUCUGACUCCCAUUACCAGCAAAUGUCCCAGGAAGGACCUUAAGUAAUAAGAGCCUUUUGAAGCUGAUCUUCAGAAGCCUCUUCCCAAGAUGGCACCUGGGAGGAGGUGUGGUUGUUUAGCGGCUCUGUCAGCCCCGGACGCACAAGUUGCUUAUACCCUGCGCAGCUGUCUAUGAUGAAGAAGCUCAUCCCUGUGGACCUUUCUCUUGAAUGCCUACUAUGAGUCACUCAGCAAGAGAGGCACCCAGCUCCCUCAAGGUCUGCAGUGCCUCGGAGGUAUUCAUACUGAGCUUUCAUCCCCCAGGCCCACUUCCCUCCAUGACACAGUCUCUGAACAUAUUAUUCCUCACGGAUGAUCACCUUCUUAACUCCAUCCAGACGUGUGCCUCUGUCUCACUAUUUAGCGUUGUCCUAGAAAAUACUGAGUAAUUGUUUCAUGCGUAUACAUCAUGUUUCCUCAAGUAGAAUCUACCUUUAUACAAUCAAAAGUGUCAGAUUGAUGGAUGAGUAGCAGGUAAAUUUCUGAUAAAGAGAAUUAAAUUAAGUGUUAAUUGUAGAAUCUAGUGAUGGGUUUAUGGGUCUUAACUGUAAAAAUCUUUCAUCUUUUCUGUAUGUUUGAUAACUUUCAUAUAAAAAUAAUAAAAACUUUAGUUUAUCUUGAACAAGAACCCUCCUCCUAUGGCUGUUGGGGUGCAAGUACCCAUUUGCCUAUUGGAACUGCCUUAGGGAAGAUACGGUUAAACACAGACCCCACCCCGCAAGUUAUUCUAUUGAGGAAAAGUGGAAAUAAGGUGAGUGCUACUACCCAACCACCCAACCCACACCUCUGUUACAAUACUGGCUUUUUGACAAGGAAGCAUUCAUUCUUUCUGGCAAAACAUUGUCCACUCUUAGCAGUUCUUCCACGGAUAUCAGACCUAUAUGCCAGUGGCAACACAGUAAGUCAGUAGCAUUCUAUAAGCACUCGUUCAACCAUGUUUUCGGCGUGGUUUCUAUGUGUCAGUCAUUAUCCCAAGCGGUGGCCAAGGAGAAGCUACAGAAGCAGAUUCGACCAGGCCCUUUCUUUGAAUAGUCUGUGGUCCCAUGAGGGAGGCAGGUGAGAAUCAAGGCUCUGUGAUAACUGUUCCAAGGGAGAUACACACAGAGCAUGUGGCAUGCUAAGCUCCUCUUGGGGUAAUUGCAAUGUUUGCCUUCUUUCCUUUGAGGACUUAAGUGUGAAGCCUGUGCACCUGGAAUGGGAGGGGACAGGGAUUCUCAUAAGAACCUUUAUGCCAUUUGUAUAGCAGUUAACAGACUGACAAGAAUUUCAAAAUAGCAUCAGACGAGGCGAUGAGCAUAGGGGUCCUUAGAAAUAUUUGCUUGUUUUAUGGUCAGAGGCCUGCAGGAAGCAGCUAAUAACUGAUCUCUUCCCAUAGCCCCUAAUGUCCUCUCCGUUUCAAUCAUGGACCAGAGUAUAGUGUGACAUUUCCCAUAUUAUUGAUUUGAGUUGUUAUUUAUUUCUUUUAUUGCCAUAUAACUGUUUACACCCUUGGCUAGAAUUUAAGAUGCCGGAAGACAAGAUAGUGCCUUGUUCCCCUGCCUCCACUAGCACAGCACCUGACUCACAGUAGGCAAUCAAUGCACCGAUUAAUUAAGUCCUCCUUCUGCUGAGGGCCCAUCGUCCUUUGGCUGUCCCAGAGAGCUAACACCUGUCCCCGGGACCACCCUAGACACAAUGGCACGCAGACGAACGAGCCUCCUUCGUCUACCUUCCCUCCGCGAGCAGCAUCAAGGACCUGAGAGGCAAACUCAAGGUGAAUUUUAAAACACCUUCAGUGGUGGUUGCAGAGCAAACCUGCCUGCAAGAAAAGGAUUUUUUCCAUCUUUCUUCAGCGCCACUGGAGCGGCUCCUUCCAUUGAAAAUACAGGGAUUUGUGCUGCAUGAUUGUGCAGGGAGUGGGGGCCGAGUCCACGCCAGUCAUCAAGGGCUCAGCAUGCUCAGAAGGGCUUUGUGCUCCAGGCACUCCAGCAGCCUGGCUUGGCCUUAGCACAUCCCCCUUCCUGAAGAGGCCACAGUACAACCACUUCAGCAAGUGACUUUUCAGUAAUGGCUCUGUGUGCCCAAAAGGGAAAUCAAUGUGACGGUUAGAAAAGUUUCUUUUUUUCUUCCAGUCCUGUGCUGUCCCCAAAAUAUCAGAAUAAGGUUUGUUAUCUGGGCAAAGGAACAAGCGCAAGAUUUUCUUUUAUGUUGGGUGAGGAGCUAAAGGACUAAACAUUUUUGAAAACCUAUGAUGUACCAGAGACUGUCUCACAUCCUGCCCUAUUUAAUGUUACCAGGAGAUCGUUGGUAAGGUGUUACCCCCAUCUUAAAGAGGAGGGGACCAAGAUUCAGGGAUGCUUCACAAGCUAAUAACUAAAACUUAAUUCUAAAGUGUGUGGGGUGCGUGUGUGUGUGUGCAUGUGUGUGCAUGCAUGUGUGCAUGUGUGUCUGGUCUGAUGUCUUAGUGUUCAUAUCCAUGAGCAUCAGGAGAGCUUCCACUUCACCCAUGUUUCAAACUCUAGAGAGGCUGCUCCCCCUGCUGAGUAGCCUGGUCGUGGCCGUGGCUGGGUGAUGGCUGUUUGGAUGCUCUCAGAAAUGUCGUAAGCAGUUCACUUAUUAUUCAGGGAAACAUCCAACAAAGUGAUGGCUUCUUUCCUUGCUAUCACUAUCUACUGCCAGCUGUUCACUUGAAUUGAAGGAUAUGAGGGACUGAAUGCUGAAUUCACGAAUGCAGCUAACCGCCCCCCUCCAGACCCCAGAGGAGCCAUUAGGAUGAGUGUUUAUGGAGCAGCACUGCCUGGAAAUGCCAAGGCCCAGUAAGGAAUGAGAGGUGAACGGAGAAAUACACGCGUCCCUGGAUCCCUCCCUGGGUGGGGAAGACUGUGUCGUGGGACAGGGGGCUUCAAAUCUAUGGGAAAACACAGCAAAUACACUUCUAGUUCUGAAUCCAGUGAGGAUUUGAUCUCCAUCAGCCAGAGGGAAUCACAUCUCGCCAUGGAUAUGAUGACUUCUGCCCUGCCAAAGCCAAGGUUGAUCUCAGGUCUCUCGUCCUCCACCCUGCACUCAGGCAACAAAAGCAUUCGAUCAGAUGCUGUGUUACACAGCUCUGAUGUGCCGGGCUGGUCCUGGGUGCCAAGGAUACAUCUAUC
rnacentral:lncRNA from 1 species